rnacentral:lncRNA from 1 species
UCCUCUUCUGAAUCCAGUUGGGCAAAAAAGCUUGUUGCAUUAUGAAGACUUUUAUCUUUUGUCUUCUUCUUGCGGCUGUUUAUGGGGAGAACUCCAACAGCGAAGAUGUCUUCAUCAUUAUGGACCUUGACGGUGAUGGCGCUCUUGAGCAGUACGAAUUACAUGCUGAUUUCUACAAAAAAGACAUCAACGGCGAUGGAUAUAUCAGUCUUUCGGAGUUCAUAAAAAAGUUUUGCUAGUUCGGAGUCACUGGAAUUUAACAUGGGGGCCUUUAUCUACUACGACAAGCUGGACGGCAGUGAGGACGGCGUCAUCGAUCAAUCAGCUUUUCCUUUAGUUAUGAAGAUGAUGGACUCUGACGGUGACGGGGAAAUUUCACGCGAAGAAAACGAAAGAAAUAUUCAAAAAAUUUGGAAUGGUGUUGCCAAAGAAAGCAAGUCCGUACUCAAUCCAUAAAGGAAGACAUACAUGCAAGAUUCUACAUAUAAAAUGUAAAAUCUUUCUCAAAUAUAUUAGCGACCGACAAUCAUUACGAAUAACAUUCUUAAUUACACACGACAGCUUUGUGGUGUUGAAAGAUGUGAACAGGUAUCACCAAGUGAAGGCCUUCAGCUGGUUCAUGAUGGAAACGAUAGGCAAAUGGCUUAAAAGUAAAUUUGAAAUGUUUUAAAACAUCA